UUAUUUUGUUGCUACUUCAUAGCUGCAACUUUGCUACUGUUAUGAAUCGUAAUGUGAAUAUCUGAUAUGCAGCGUAUCUGAGAUGUGACCCGCAGGUUGAAAACGGCUGCUUUAAAGUGUUCACUUUAGAGCAAAAAUUCACGUCAUCAAAGACACCAAGCAGAAAACAUCUCCCAACUAUACUUAGAGAUCCUUUAUGUACAUCCUGCAUCAACACCAACCUGUCACAGAUAGAAUCAAAUAAGGACGGAAACGAUGCCACGUUAGACGUUUUCAGUUUAGAGACUCUCACAUUUGGAGGACGAGUUUUGUAUUCUUGGCUCAUGUUGAGUGGUUCCAUAUUCUUUUAUGAAAGAACCAGACUUGUGAGAUUAUGAACAAAGUCUUACACCCUUUCAUUUCUCUGAUGGAUCUCUCCUUCCCCAACCCCUGUUUAUAGGCAUCUUAUUGCUAGGGUAUGCCUUUAAUUGAGUAGUACCUCCAUAAUUGUUGAUUUAUCUGGAGAACUUCAGCAUCUUUCUGAAUUGAGAAGUAGUCAACCACAGUUGAAGACUGAGGUUUAAGGUGUGAUUGGACUCCACGUUCCAGGAAUCACAAGCUUGCUACAGUUAACUCACUCUUAGUCUGGGUUGACAUCAGUCUUAAUACUGACAGGAGAAACUGCUGGGUGUGUGCCCAGCAUAUGACAGAGGAUAUAAGCAGUCCAGAGUUUAAAAAGAGGUACCUACCAUGCUGAAGGUGAGAGUCCAAAGAAGCUCUCUAGCAUGUCAGUUUUUAAAACCAAAUACGGUUUCCUGGGGUCAGGGAUGUGGCUCAGGGAUGGUAUGCGUGCUCUCUGUGUUCAGAGCCCUGCGUUCAAAUCCCACUGCCACAAAAUGGAGAAAGGUAUCUGAUUUUAGAGACUGCAACAAGCUCAAAGGUCCUACUGUCCACUGUCCGGUGUCCAUGCAAAGUGUAAGACUUUCACACGGCUGGGGAGGAAAGGGGCAAUUCACUAAGGAGGUUUAGGAGAGCAGCAUAUAAAAUAAGGUGGUGUUUUUCUUAUAUCUUAUGUCUAAAUAAAUUCUAAAAUGCAGCAAAGGUUUAAGUGUAAGAAAAUGAAAUUAAGAAGGUUAGUGAAAUUACCUUUAAAAUUAUCCUGAUACAUAAGGCUUCUCUGUGCCUUUUGUAUGUUUGUUUGUUUGGUUGGUUGGUUGGUUUUUGGUUUUGGGAACGGGGCUUCCCUUGUAGCCCUGGCUGUCCUGAAUCCCACUACCCAGAUCAGUCUGGCCUCUCUGCCACAGAGAACGUCCUGCCUUUGCCUCCCAAGUGCUGGGACUAAAGGUGUGCACUACUCUCUCCCAGUGCCUCUCUCUACCGGUAUGCGUCUCUCUUGCCCAUGCUUUAAAAAUCGUCUCUAAGAAAAAUAAAUUGGUUGUCAUACUUGUGGUGUGUUCUAAAUGUAUCAUAAACACUGGAUUGGCGAACACCAACUCACUGUCCUGGGGAAGCCUCUGGGGAGGGAGGUGCAACUAUGCACUGAUCAUGCAUUCUUGUCAGUUACCCUUGUUUGCUUGGAUUUCUAUUUCAGGGUUUCUUAUUCACUGUGUCUUUCUGAUUUGUUGGCACUGGACUCUCGGUCAACAUAUUCUACUCAUGCUUGCACAAAGUGUUGUCUCAUGCACUCUACCCACAGACACUGUAGCCUUCUAUCAGGGAACACAAGAAUGCUUCAGGGAGGAGGGGUACAUCUGUAAAAACCAAAAGCGCACAAAAAAAUUUGCAAAAACUUAGGCAUGAAAUAAACUGUGAGAAAGACACUUAAAUAUAUAUAUAUAUACAUACAUACAUAUAUACAUAUAUAUACAUAUAUAUAUUGUGUUAGCUGACAUAGACUCCACUUAGCCAAGGCCAGAGGAACCUUUACUUACCUGGGCUUUGUUAGGACAGCAAUGUUGGAGACACCAGAUCUAGAGAAUAUACUCUGAGGUUUUAUGUAUCACUGGUGUUACCAAAACUGUGAGGAAGUCAUCAAUUAUACCUCUACUUUCUGGGCUUGUGACUGACAUGGUAAGAGUUUACAGGAAAGGAAUUGGGCACAGUCUGUCUCUGGGCAGUUUGUGAGAGUUUCAUAAUCUUUUACAAGCUGGUGGGUUUCAUCGGGGAAAAUCGCAGUUGGCAUGAGAGCAUGAGGUCAGCCUGAACCUGGGUGGGUACCAGAUAGAUUGGUUCCAAAGUUCACCUGUGAUGGUCCUAACACAUGCAUGGCUCAGCCGGACCUGGCAACUCACUAAGUGUCCGGAACUAAUUAAUGGGCUUGGAUUUUCUUCCUGGACAACAAUCUGAGGGCCACAGCAAGUCACUUUGUUGCCUUAUAGUGCAUCUUCCACAAUGACCAGGCAAGGGCUGUCAGUACUACUUUUAGGGAUAAGAAUAAAGUUGAUCAGCUAGAUAAACAGCUAAUAUGGAAUGAGUCAGUAGCAUAGAAAGGCCAUAUUGAAAACCUUGCUCCUAUAAACAUUUUAGUCUAAAGAUCUAAAAGCAAGCAGAGAAGUAUAUAAGUAGUAUUUCUAAUAGAAACCCACAUGUACAAUGAAGGUACGCUAAUGAAAAUUCAAAAAUGAAUUGUCGGGAUACUAAGGAAAUAUGCUAAUGCGACCCUCACUGUGACCCUGUCCACAACCAGAACAGGAAAGAAUAAAAUCUUUUCUUAUUUCACACGAUAUUUUUAAAAAGGUUUGUAAAGUCCUAGAUCCUGUCAUUGGUGACAACGUGUCCGAACACAGAAAACAUGAUGCGUAAUGAAAUAAAUUAGACACAGAAAGACAAAGGUUACAUGACCGCCAUUAGAUGUGUGACUUAAAAGCUCUGAACUCCCAGAGUCUAGGGAAGUGAUUACCAGGAGGGGGGACAGAGAUGGGCUGGGAAGAAGAUGUGAAUCGUGAGGCGCUAGUCUAAUGAUGCCCAGGUUCAAUUAGUCAAAUCGAAAUGAUAAAGAGAGAUGAAGCAGCCCAAAGCCAAAUGGUGAAAGGAUAUAAAUAAAUAAUUCCAUGAGGUUGGAGAAUUCAGAUGUGCUUUAAAAUGUCUUGGCAGAUAAUCUACACACAGGGCUCUAGUUACAAAGCCAUGGAAGAGUAAGCAAUGGAAGAAACCACUCCAGCACAUCAAGUCUCCAGACACUAAGUAACCCAUGCUAAGGACAACCCUUCUGACCAGCUCGCUAUGCAAUCUUGACCUGUUUGUGUGACUCUUGUGCCUCUGGAGGCAUGUGCCUGGAUUUCCCUCUCAUGGACACACAGAUAGUUUGUCCAGCUUCAAUAUCUCACAUAUUCAUCCGUGUGAGCUGCCCAGGAUUAAAAGCUGCAUAAUAUCCGGGUUAAGGAUACCAGACUACUUUUUCCCUGUAUUUUGACAUAGUCCUUGAAUCCCUCUCUACCAAUCACUAGAUAUAUCUGUAGUAAAUACAUUUUUUACCCAUUUGAUUCAUAUAUGAUUUAAGUAUUUAAACGAAUCAGAAAACAGUAACUCUUUGAUUACAAAAUGAAGGGUGUGUUUUAAAGUAAAAUUGAAAUUCAAGAAGAAAUAAUGUUAUUCUAACCGGCAAUUCUUCCGCUGUGCUGGAUUUAGCAUAAAUAGGACCGCUGGUUGGGGAGGGAAGAACUCCAUUACUAACAAGGCAGAAAAUUCAAAGAUGGGCACUUUCUCCAGACCCAGAUCCCUUAGCUAGGGGUUUUAGGCACAAAGCUUUUGUAGGAUCUUUUAAGAUGCCGUAUUAGUAAGGCAGGCACUGAAAUAGCUAUAAUUUUAGGGUGGUCUGUGUUUUCUGAUAAAUGGUUGUUGCUAUCUGUAGAUCAUUGAGUGCACUGGGCUCUAUAAAUCUAAAUAAAAGUUUUUAAUUAGAAA
rnacentral:sRNA from 1 species